rnacentral:sRNA from 1 species
UUCGACUUCCAAGGAGAACACUUGGGUACCAAUGAAAAAGUUCACAACUACUUUGGUAUCGGGCUUAUGUUGGUCUCCCUUCUAACAGUCGCAAGCUAUUCCCGAA